UGCCCGAUGGUGUAACGGUAGCACAGCAGACUCUGGAUCUGUUUGUCAUGGUUCCAAUCCAUGUCGGGCAGCCA
rnacentral:tRNA from 1 species